CCUACGGGCGGCAGCAGUGGGGAAUAUUGGACAAUGGGCGAAAGCCUGAUCCAGCCAUGCCGCGUGUGUGAAGAAGGCCUUCGGGUUGUAAAGCACUUUCAGUGGGGAAGAAAGCCUUGGGGCUAAUACCCUCGAGGAAGGACAUCACCCACAGAAGAAGCACCGGCUAACUCCGUGCCAGCAGCCGCGGUAAUACGGAGGGUGCGAGCGUUAAUCGGAAUUACUGGGCGUAAAGCGCGCGUAGGCGGUCUGAUAAGCCGGUUGUGAAAGCCCCGGGCUCAACCUGGGAACGGCAUCCGGAAAUGGCAGGAUAGAGUGCAGGAGAGGAAGGUAGAAUUCCGUGUGGAGCGGUGAAAUGCGUAGAGAUCGGGAGGAAUACCAGUGGCGAAGGCGGCCUUCUGGACUGACACUGACGCUGAGGUGCGAAAGCGUGGGUAGCAAACAGGAUUAGAUACCCCAGUAGUC
rnacentral:rRNA from 1 species